rnacentral:rRNA from 1 species
UCCUACGGGAGGCAGCAGUGGGGAAUAUUGGACAAUGGGGGGAACCCUGAUCCAGCCAUGCCGCGUGUGUGAAGAAGGCCUUAUGGUUGUAAAGCACUUUAAGCGAGGAGGAGGCUACUUUAGUUAAUACCUAGAGAUAGUGGACGUACUCGCA